AUGGCGGCUACAGAGCUGAUCAUAGACGGUGGACGGUGGCUGUCGGCUUCGGCGCAGUCGAGGGCCUGCGAUUCCGGUAUGGAGGGCGUUGUCGGCAAUGGGUGGCAAAAUCUGACUGGUAGCGGUGGAUUACAGCGUUCCUCGAAGGAGUGGUUGCGCGUUUACGCUCUCGGCGGCAGUUUGCGGCGGAAACCGGCGAUUCUUUGUGGUGGUGAUGCAUCGGAGUCGUCUGUGUGGUGCUGCUCCGAUUCAUUUCACAUCUUCUUUCUUUGA